UACAGAGGGCUCAAGCGUUGUUCGGAUUCAUUGGGCGUAAAGGGUGCGUAGGCGGCGCGGUAAGUCGGGUGUGAAAUCUCGGGGCUUAACUCCGAAACUGCAUUCGAUACUGCCGUGCUUGAGGACUGGAGAGGAGACUGGAAUUUACGGUGUAGCGGUGAAAUGCGUAGAUAUCGUAAGGAAGACCAGUGGCGAAGGCGGGUCUCUGGACAGUUCCUGACGCUGAGGCACGAAGGCCAGGGGAGCAAACGGG
rnacentral:rRNA from 1 species